rnacentral:rRNA from 1 species
AUCCUGCCAGCAAUCAUAUGCUUGUCUCAAAGAUUAAGCCAUGCAUGUCUAAGUAUAAGUUUUUAUACGGCGAAACUGCGGAAGGCUCAUUAUAUCAGUUACAAUCCAAUUGAUCGAAUCGUUACUUGGAUACCUGUAGGAAUUCUAGAGCUAAUACAUGCCAACGGGCCGGAUCGGGGGAAACCUCGAGAAGGCCGCGCAUACCCGCCGAGAAACCGACCGGGACGUCGAACCCCGGGGCGACCCGGGGUGUCCCGAAAGGCCCAGGACGAUUCAAGGUAGCCGUCGCGAAUCGAGGGCCGAAGCCCUCGAUGAUGCAAUCGAGUAUCUGCCCCAUCAACUUUCAACCGUAGUGUAGGGGACUACGGUGGUGAUAACGGGUACGGGGAAUUAGGGUUCGAUUCCGGAGAGGGGGCCUGAGAAAUGGCCACCACUUCCAAGGAAGGCAGCAGGCGCGUAAAUUAUCCAAUCUCGAUUCGAGGAGAUAGUGACAAGAAAUACCGAUGUAGGGCCUUCUGGGCUCUACUAUCGGAAUGAGGACAAUUUAAAUUCCUUACCGAGGAACGAUUGGAGGGCAAGUCUGGUGCCAGCAGCCGCGGUAAUUCCAGCUCCAAGAGUGUAUAUUAAAGUUGUUGCGGUUAAAAAGCUCGUAGUUGGACUUUGGACGGCGGCGCGAGGUCCCCGACGGCUCCGUUCGUCGGGAAUCGGGCCCGGCGUUCGCCGUUCCGUUCCCGAAACGCCGGCGACGCGUUCGCGAAAGCGGGCGCGUCCGUUUCGGGGGUUCACCUUGAACAAAUUAGGGUGCUCCAGGCAGACGAAAUCGUCGUGAACAGGUUAGCAUGGGAUGAUGGAAGACGACGCCGAUCCGUCUUUCCGUCGGUUUCUAGGGUCGCGUAAUGAUUGACAGGGGCGGUCGGGGUUGUCCGUAUUCGACGGUCAGAGGUGAAAUUCUAGGACCCGUCGAGGACGAACGAGUGCGAAGGCAUUCAACAAGGACGCUUUCCUUAAUCAAGAACGAAAGUUAUGGGAUCGAAGAUGAUCAGAUACCGUCGUAGUCGUAACCGUAAACCAUGUCGACCCGGGAUCGGAGGCUGUUAAUGGACGACUCUUCCGGCACCGACGUGCGAAAGCGGAGUAUUCGGAUUCCGGGGGGAGUAUGGUCGCAAGGCUGAAACUUAAAGGAAUUGACGGAAGGACACCACCAGGAGUGGAACCUGCGGC